rnacentral:rRNA from 1 species
UACGAAGGGGGCUAGCGUUGUUCGGAAUCACUGGGCGUAAAGGGCGCGUAGGCGGCUUUAUAAGUCGGGGGUGAAAGCCUGUCGGCUCAACCACAGAAUUGCCUUCGAUACUGUAGAGCUUGAGACCGGAAGAGGUAAGUGGAACGUGCGGAGUGUAGAGGUGAAAAUUCGUAGAGUAUUCGCAAGAACACCAGUGGCGAAGGCGGCUUACUGGUCCGGUUCUGACGCUGAGGCGCGAAAGCGUGGGGAGCAACAGGG